rnacentral:rRNA from 1 species
UACGUAGGGGGCAAGCGUUGUCCGGAAUCAUUGGGCGUAAAGCGCGUGUAGGCGGUCCGGCAAGUCCGCUGUGAAAGCCGGGGGCUCAACCCUCGGAUGCCGGUGGAUACUGUCGGGCUUGAGUACGGAAGAGGCGAGUGGAAUUCCUGGUGUAGCGGUGAAAUGCGCAGAUAUCAGGAGGAACACCAAUUGCGAAGGCAGCGCGCUGGGACGUUACUGACGCUGAGACGCGAAAGCGUGGGGAGCAAACAGG